UAUUCAGAGUAGGGCACUUCCUAAAAUAUUCCUUGAAUUUUUCCCAUGCCUCUAGAUAGAUCUCGAGAUCUUUUUGCUUAAAAAUAUGAACUUCAUUUCUGAUAUG
rnacentral:snoRNA from 1 species